GCGCUCGUAGCUCAACUGGAUAGAGUAUCGGGCUUCGAACUCGAGGGUUGCAGGUUCGAGUCCUGCCGGGCGCGCCA
rnacentral:tRNA from 2 species